rnacentral:rRNA from 1 species
ACACAUGCAGUCGAGGGGUAACAUAGAAAAGCUUGCUUUUCUGAUGACGACCGGCGCACGGGUGCGUAACGCGUAUACAACCUACCUUUUAGCGGGGAAUAGCCCAGGGAAACUUGGAUUAAUGCCCCAUAGUAUAUAGACUUCUCCUGAAGUUUAUAUUAAACAUUUAUGGCUAUUAGAUGGGUAUGCGUCCUAUUAGUUAGUUGGUAAGGUAACGGCUUACCAAGGCAGCGAUAGGUAGGGGUCCUGAGAGGGAGAUCCCCCACACUGGUACUGAGACACGGACCAGACUCCUACGGGAGGCAGCAGUGAGGAAUAUUGGACAAUGGGCGAGAGCCUGAUCCAGCCAUGCCGCGUGCAGGAAGACUGCCCUAUGGGUUGUAAACUGCUUUUACAGAGGAAGAACCACCCCCACGUGUGGGGGUUUGACGGUACUCUGCGAAUAAGGAUCGGCUAACUCCGUGCCAGCAGCCGCGGUAAUACGGAGGAUCCAAGCGUUAUCCGGAAUCAUUGGGUUUAAAGGGUCCGUAGGCGGGCAGUUAAGUCAGUGGUGAAAGUCUUCCGCUCAACGGGAGAACUGCCAUUGAUACUGAUUGUCUUGAGUUAUUAUGAAGUGGUUAGAAUGAGUAGUGUAGCGGUGAAAUGCAUAGAUAUUACUCAGAAUACCGAUUGCGAAGGCAGAUCACUAAUAAUAUACUGACGCUGAUGGACGAAAGCGUAGGUAGCGAACAGGAUUAGAUACCCUGGUAGUCUACGCCGUAAACGAUGGUUACUAGCUGUUCGGCCCAAUUGAGGGCUGAGUGGUUAAGCGAAAGUGAUAAGUAACCCACCUGGGGGAGUACGUUCGCAAGAAUGAAACUCAAAGGAAUUGACGGGGGCCCGCACAAGCGGUGGAGCAUGUGGUUUAAUUCGAUGAUACGCGAGGAACCUUACCAGGGCUUAAAUGUAGUCUGACAGGUCUGGAAACAGACUUUUCUUCGGACAGAUUACAAGGUGCUGCAUGGUUGUCGUCAGCUCGUGCCGUGAGGUGUCAGGUUAAGUCCUAUAACGAGCGCAACCCCUGUGGUUAGUUGCCAGCGAGUAAUGUCGGGAACUCUAGCCAGACUGCCGGUGCAAACCGCGAGGAAGGUGGGGAUGACGUCAAAUCAUCACGGCCCUUACGUCCUGGGCCACACACGUGCUACAAUGGUAGGGACAGAGAGCAGCCACUUCGCGAGAAGGAGCGAAUCUACAAACCCUAUCACAGUUCGGAUCGCAGUCUGCAACUCGACUGCGUGAAGCUGGAAUCGCUAGUAAUCGCAUAUCAGCCAUGAUGCGGUGAAUACGUUCCCGGGCCUUGUACACACCGCCCGUCAAGCCAUGGAAGCCGGGGGUACCUGAAGUCGGUCACCGCAAGAGCC